rnacentral:lncRNA from 1 species
GAGCCCAACGCAAUAGGUAUUCCUAACUCCUCUACCGUUCGCCUUAAUAAUUUUAAAGCGGGUCGUUCGGUGCGAAUUCGUGAUGAAGAGCCAAGGCUUAUUGAUGUUGAUCCAAAUCAAGAAACAGACGAAGACUCUGGCGAUGAGGAAAGGCAUAGAUUACCAGAAAUUAAUUCUGACACCGAAGAAGACUCAUCGGAUGAUUCCGAUUACGAGCCUUAGUUUUAAUUUCUUCGGAUGUAAUACAUUAAUUUAUAAUAAAAAGGAUUGUGUAUUACCUUAAUUUCUAGUUUACAUAUGUUGAAUUCAUAUUUCUGUUAUUUUAUAUGAAUUUUGGUGAUAUAUGAACAGGAAAUUAGUAUGGUUUAAACCUUCUGUUUUAGGGUUUGUAUUUUUUUACUUAAGCCGACGAAAUACAACAUAAUUCGUCGGCCUAAACCAUCUUAGCCGACGAAAAAUACUUGAAGUCGUCGGCUAAAAGAACUUAUAGCCGACGAAAUACACUAAUAUUUCGUCGGCUUUAUUAAUUUUUUUUAUUACAUACUAUAGCCGACGAAAAAUACUAGACAUCGUCGGCUAAAUUAACUUAUAGCCGACGAAAUUCCCUAAUAUUUCGUCGGCUAAACCCUAAACUUUUUUUUAUUACAUACUAUAGCCGACGAAAUACCCUAAUAUUUCGUCGGCUAAACCUAAAUAUUUUCUGUUACAUACUAUAGCCCUAUCUUCGGUGGUUAUUUUGCGUAAAAUUUUUAUACGACUUAUUAUGUCUCAUCGAUUUGAAAAUAUUUUCAGUUGAAGGUCCGGCCAAAAUACGAAAUUUUGACGGUCCAACGACCUUUUCCGUGCAUUUAGAGGUUUGACUUACGGGAUUGACCGUCCGGAUCGAGCAGUUAACCUUGUCAGAUCAAGUUGAAUUUUUUCCCAUACAUGUAUUUUAUCAUGAUGGUCAGAUCUGACCGUCGGAUUUCCUUUUCUCAAGUUUGAUCAUCACAAUCACAACAUGCUUACUAAUGUUGUAUAACUAGUUUACCAAGUGUUAAGUAAAUGUUCCGUUUCAAAAACAAACUAUACGUAGAACCUUCAAACGUAAAAAAGUCGUGAAAU